ACGGAGGCCACCUUCGCCCUCUCCCGGGAUUGGCCGAGGAGCUCGCGCUCGCGCUCUUCCCCAGCCUCUCAUUGGCUUCCGGCGAAGAACUUUCUCUGCCUCGACUUGUAACUGGUGGCUUUCUCCCACACUUUCUGCAGGUCAGGAAUGGCUGCCACCUUCGGAGGCCCGAGCUCUGCGGCUCCUGAUUGGCCAAGUGAUGCGCGCACCCCGCGCAAUCCUUCGUCGAACGUGGCAGUGGGGAGGAGUCCCCAGCCGAGGGGCGGAGCUGCGUCUGCGCCUCCGAAACCCCUCGUGUUGCAUUCUGACUGGACCGCGUACCCGUAGCUGGCACCGCCCUCCCGGCUCGCGGGGCGGAAUCUGGGCUGACGCAACUUCCGGCGCGCGUGAGGGGACUCCAACUAGAAUAUGAACACCUGAAGGUCAUGACCAGGUUCUCCGUGUGCCUCCCUCACUUCCAGUAGAGCAAGGGUCAAUCAGAGGUGGUGGUACCUGCUGGGACACCUGUCUGCUUCAUUGGGGUGACUUUACAGGAGCUGGGACUUGCUGCAUAGAAAGGCUGCAAACGUGCCUCAGCAGGUGCCCACUUCCUCCCCAACGCAGUGGGGCCCUGGCCUGGGUGCUCGCUCUUCAUAACUGACGCCGACAAGCCCCUGUUCUGCAGCCCAGGUGGCCACAGCCAAGUCAUUCUGUGAAAACCAGGGCCUGAGCAGGGCUGGAGCUUGGAGGGGUCACGGCAUUUUGACGCCUUGGCUGUACUGAUGUGCCUUCUCCUCAAGGCCGCUCUGCCCAUCUUGAAAUGACCUCGCACACUGACCAUGCGGAAGCAGCAAAGCUGGAGGGAGGCCUGGCUUGGGGGUUGGCCUGAGAACCCAUCUCUCAGGUUGGUCAGAAGCUGGGUGAGGGAGGUUGUAGGGGUGCAUCCAGCCCCCCACAACUCAGGCCGGGUUCACUGAACACCUCUGCAGCUUCAGCCCUCGGGGAGGGGCUGGUGUUUAUUCCUGUGCCCCGGGCCUGAUUUGGAGUUUCCCUUGGAGGUCAGGGCCGCCCACCCUUUUGGCUGUGACAUCUGGAUCCACACAGCUGUUUCAGGACGUCGUCCAGGAGUCUCUCAUGCUCGGAGAAGGUGCCCAUUAAGCAUUGGUUGAGCUACUGAUUAAAUGUUUCUGAUAAAUACUAUUCUCAAAAAUACAGUUCUC